GUGGGGAAUCUUAGACAAUGGGGGAAACCCUGAUCUAGCCAUGCCGCGUGAGCGAUGAAGGCCUUAGGGUUGUAAAGCUCUUUCAGAUGGGAAGAUAAUGACGGUACCAUCAGAAGAAGCCCCGGCUAACUCCGUGCCAGCAGCCGCGGUAAUACGGAGGGGGCUAGCGUUGUUCGGAAUUACUGGGCGUAAAGCGCACGUAGGCGGACCAGAAAGUCAGAGGUGAAAUCCCCGGGCUCAACCUUGGAACUGCCUUUGAAACUCCUGGUCUUGAGGUCGAGAGAGGUGAGUGGAAUUCCGAGUGUAGAGGUGAAAUUCGUAGAUAUUCGGAGGAACACCAGUGGCGAAGGCGGCUCACUGGCUCGAUACUGACGCUGCGGUGCGAAAGCGUGGGGAGCAAACAGGAUUAGAAACCCGGGUAGUCC
rnacentral:rRNA from 1 species